rnacentral:rRNA from 1 species
AUAUUAUUAAGUGGAGGAAAAGAAACCAAAAGGGAUUCCCCCAGUAGUGGCGAACGAAAAGGGACCUAGCCCAAAGCCGAAUCCCACAACCGAUGGUUGUCGGGACAUGUGGCGUAUGGGAGUCAUCGUUUUCGAAUACCAGUGGCGACUCAAGUGCGCUUGAAUGCUGCCUAUACCUGAGCGGGUGUCAGUCCCGUACGGUCGCUCUGAAUUUGGAAUGAUUUCUCCCGGGAGUCGGGUUGUUUGAAAGUACAGCCCAAAGUGGGUGGURUGCUCCACCUARGGCUAAAURUCCCCGAGAGACCGAUAGCAAAACAGUACCGUGAGGGAAAGUUGAAAAGAACUUUGAAGAGAGAGUUCAAUAKUACGUGAAACCGCUUAGAGGUAAACGGGUGGGCCCUCGAAAUAUAUAGGAAUCCCCUGCUUCAGGGCGAUGGUGUAUUCCAUCGCCUGCAUUGAUACUAUAGAGGCCGCGACCGGUUGGAUCGUGGUGCGGCGCCGAGCUUGAAGUUUGCCAAUUUCGUCGAAAGAUGAUUUUGAUUAAAUGUGCUCGGACGAUCGAUUGUCCGACCGGUUAACGAGAUAGUUUCGAACAAGUUAUCUCAUCCGCGGUCAGUAGGCCGGGUCCCACCCGACCCGUCUUG